rnacentral:lncRNA from 10 species
CGGGUUCCUCCCGGGUUUCUGCCGGGUUUCUCCCUGCGGCUCCUGGGUUGUUGAGACUCUUGUGAAGAUGGCUUGCGCUGCCGCGCGGUCCCCGGCCGACCAGGACAGGCUGUUGAAAAUCCUACAGCUACAGAGAUUCAAGAUGUAUGUUCAGCAGUUGGACUUAACGUAUUUCUUGAGAAAAAUAAAAUGUACUCUAGAGAAUGGAAUCGUGAUGUCCAAUACAGAGGCAGAGUCCGGGUCCAGCUCAAACAGGAAGAUGGGAGCCUCUGCCUUGUACAGUUCCCAUCACGUAAGUCAGUAAUGUUGUAUGCAGCAGAAAUGAUACCUAAACUAAAAACAAGGACACAAAAAACAGGAGGUGCUGACCAAAGUCUUCAACAAGGAGAGGGAAGUAAAAAAGGGAAAGGAAAGAAAAAGAAGUAACCUAGUAUCAGCAUCAAGUAUGUGGUACUACUGUAAGAGACAUGAAUGGAGACUUCUAAUUUGUAUCGGAGGGAAACAGAAGCUUUUUGUUUGCAUCAUUUAACUGAACUGUGAACCCUUGUGCCUCUCAUCUUUAUCAUCGGAGUUGACAGUGAAACAAAUUUACAUCAGAAGUUUGCAUCUCGCGUAUAUGCCGUAUAAAAGAAUUUUUUUGUCUUUCAAUGCAGUUUUUUG